rnacentral:rRNA from 1 species
GUGAACGCUGGCGGUAGGCCUAACACAUGCAAGUCGCACGGCAGCACAGUAAGAGCUUGCUCUUACGGGUGGCGAGUGGCGGACGGGUGAGGAAUACAUCGGAAUCUACUUUUUCGUGGGGGAUAACGUAGGGAAACUUACGCUAAUACCGCAUACGACCUACGGGUGAAAGCAGGGGAUCUUCGGACCUUGCGCGAUUGAAUGAGCUGAUGUCGGAUUAGCUAGUUGGCGGGGUAAAGGCCCACCAAGGCGACGAUCCGUAGCUGGUCUGAGAGGAUGAUCAGCCACACUGGAACUGAGACACGGUCCAGACUCCUACGGGAGGCAGCAGUGGGGAAUAUUGGACAAUGGGCGCAAGCCUGAUCCAGCCAUACCGCGUGGGUGAAGAAGGCCUUCGGGUUGUAAAGCCCUUUUGUUGGGAAAGAAAAGCAGCAGGUUAAUACCCCGCUGUUCUGACGGUACCCAAAGAAUAAGCACCGGCUAACUUCGUG